rnacentral:rRNA from 1 species
UACGUAGGGUGCGAGCGUUAAUCGGAAUUACUGGGCGUAAAGUGUGCGCAGGCGGCCGCGCAAGUCGAGUGUGAAAGCCCCGGGCUUAACUUGGGAAUUGCGCUCGAAACUACGUGGCUGGAGUGUGGCAGAGGAAGGUGGAAUUCCAGGUGUAGCGGUGAAAUGCGUAGAGAUCUGGAGGAACACCGAUGGCGAAGGCAGCCUUCUGGGCCAACACUGACGCUCAUGUGCGAAAGCGUGGGGAGCAAACAGG